UCGUCCUACGGGAGGCAGCAGUCGGGAAUAUUGCACAAUGGAGGAAACUCUGAUGCAGUGACCCCGCGUAUAGGAAGAAGGUUUUCGGAUUGUAAACUAUUUUAGACAGGGAAGAAAAAAGACAGUACCUGUAGAAUAAGCUCCGGCUAACUACGUGCCAGCAGCCGCGGUAAUACGUAGGGAGCAAGCGUUAUCCGGAAUUACUGGGUGUAAAGGGAGCGCAGACGGCAGUGCAAGUCUGGAGUGAAAGCCCGGGGCCCAACCCCGGAACUGCUCUGGAAACUGUGCGGCUAGAGUACUGGAGG
rnacentral:rRNA from 1 species